rnacentral:rRNA from 1 species
AUUCCAGCUCCAAUAGCGUAUAUUAAAGUUGUUGCAGUUAAAAAGCUCGUAGUUGAAUUUCUGGUGGGAGUGUACAGUCCGACACUGAGUGUUGGUUCUUGUGUGUCUCCGGCCAUCCUUGGAGUGAAUCUGUCUGGCAUUUAGUUGUUGGGCAGAGUAUCUCCAUCGUUUACUGUGAGGAAAGGAAAGUGUUCAAAGCAGGCUUACGCCGUUGAAUCUUUUAGCAUGGAAUAAUAAGAUAGGCUCUUGAGUGCUACUUUGUUGGUUUAUACACUUAGAGAAUGAUUAACAGGGACAGUUGGGGGUAUUCAUAUUUACAUGUCAGAGGUGAAAUUCUUGGACUUAUUAAAGAUGAACAACUGCGAAAGCAUUUACCAAGGAUGUUUUCAUCA